rnacentral:lncRNA from 1 species
CUUUUUCUCUCUCUUUUUUUCUUUCAUUUUUUUUUACAUUUUUUUAUUUAUAUUUUUUUUAUGUGUUUUAGUUUUAAGAUAUUGGUUUAUUCUUAGUGGUAUAGUUUAAGUGGUUUAUUUUGUGGUGGCGGCGACAACCGGUGUAACCGGGAGUCAUGCCGGUUCGUGGAGUCGGAGGCGUGGGGCUGGAAACGCUCACACGCCGACAUGCGUUCAAACUUUGUCCGACUAUAGACUGUUCUGUGGAAGAAUGUGCUUUGGUAGUCGGGGAGAUUGUUGGUUUUGAUAGCAUUAAAUCCGCAUCUAGAAUGAACAAUGGAGUUGUGAUUUUUGUGGAUAGUUUUGAUAAAGUUGCAACAAUUGUUGAACAAGGUGUAAUAAUCAGAGAGAUCUUUGUUCAAGCGGUGCCGCUCGUCAAUCCGGCAAAAAAGAUAGUUUUGUCGCAAGUCCCUCCAUUCAUUAGUAAUGAAAUGCUAGAGAGGGAACUGGCGAGACAUGGGCAGUUAAUGUCUCCGAUUAGAUCGAUUUCUCUUGGCUGUAAAUCUCCGCAAUUGAGACAUGUUGUUUCUUUUAGAAGGCAAGUCUUUAUGAUUUUAAAGAACAAUAAUGAAGAGUUAAACUUAGUGUUAAAGUUCAGAGUGGAUGAUUAUGACUACAACGUUUAUGUAAGCUCAGAAAAAAUGAAAUGUUUCGGGUGUGGAAUGGAGGGCCACAUCAUAUGUUCCUGCCCAGAAAAAGUCACUACUGAUACUAUUAAUAAGAACAUAGAACAGGGUGAGUCAGGUAGAUCUCAGAGACAAAAGAAAAAAAAAUCAAAUGAAUUUCAGGGACAAAAAUUGGAUAAAACAAACACGGUUCUUGAGCAAAAACAAACUGAACUAAAGGAAUCUCAGGGCCUAAAACAAAGUGAAACAAAUGAAACUCAGGGACAAAAAUUGGAUGAAUUAAAUAAAUCUCUAGGGCAAAAACGGAAUGAACUAAAUGAAUCUCAGGGCCUAAAACAGAGUGAAAUAAAUGAAAAUCAGGGACAAAAAUUGGAUAAAACAAACACGGUUCUUGAGCAAAAACAAUCUGAACUAAAUGAAACUCGGGGCCAAAAAAGUGAAACAAAUGAAACUCGGGG